rnacentral:rRNA from 1 species
AUUGAACGCUGGCGGAAUGCUUUACACAUGCAAGUCGAACGGCAGCACAGGGAGCUUGCUCCUGGGUGGCGAGUGGCGAACGGGUGAGUAAUGUAUCGGAACGUGCCCAGUAGUGGGGGAUAACUACUCGAAAGAGUGGCUAAUACCGCAUGAGAUCUCUGGAUGAAAGUGGGGGACCGCAAGGCCUCACGCUACUGGAGCGGCCGAUAUCAGAUUAGGUUGUUGGUGGGGUAAAGGCCUACCAAGCCUGCGAUCUGUAGCUGGUCUGAGAGGACGACCAGCCACACUGGGACUGAGACACGGCCCAGACUCCUACGGGAGGCAGCAGUGGGGAAUCUUGCGCAAUGGGAGCAAUCCUGACGCAGCAACGCCGCGUGGGUGAUGAAGGUCUUCGGAUCGUAAAGCCCUGUCGGAGGGGAAGAUGCUUGGAACGUCUAAUAGAUGAGCCAGGUGACGGUACCCUUAAAGGAAGCACCGGCUAACUCUGU